GGAGGUGCAGCUUAGUGGUAGAGCACUUGCCUUCCAUGUGUAAGAAGGCCCUGGGUUCGAUCCCCAGCACAGCAA
rnacentral:tRNA from 1 species